UUAGGUGUCCAUAGCGCAGGGGUACACCUCUUCCCUUCCCGAACAGAGAAGUUAAGCCCUGCUACGCCGAUGGUACUGGAGUAAGAUCUGGAAGAGUAGGUAGACGCCAUCC
rnacentral:rRNA from 1 species